rnacentral:rRNA from 1 species
GUAACAGAAAGCUUGCUUUUUGCUGACGAGUGGCGAACGGGUGCGUAACGCGUAUGCAACCUACCUUCUUCUAAGGAAUAGCCCAGAGAAAUUUGGAUUAAUACCUUAUGACAAUAUUUAUUCGCAUGUUUAAAUAUUUAAAACUCCGGUGGAAGAAGAUGGGCAUGCGUAACAUUAGUUUGUUGGUGAGGUAAUGGCUCACCAAGACUACGAUGUUUAGGGGGUCUGAGAGGAUGAUCCCCCACACUGGUACUGAGACACGGACCAGACUCCUACGGGAGGCAGCAGUGAGGAAUAUUGGUCAAUGGACGAAAGUCUGAACCAGCCAUGCCGCGUGAAGGAUGACGGCCCUACGGGUUGUAAACUUCUUUUGUUUAGGAAGAAACCCCUCUACGUGUAGAGGGUUGACGGUACUAUUCGGAUAAGCACCGGCUAACUCCGUGCCAGCAGCCGCGGUAAUACGGAGGGUGCGAGCGUUAUCCGGAAUUAUUGGGUUUAAAGGGUGCGUAGGCGGAAAUUUAAGUCAGUGGUGAAAGCCUGCAGCUUAACUGUAGAAUUGCCAUUGAUACUGGAUUUCUUGAAUCUAAUAGAAGUAGGCGGAAUAUGACAUGUAGCGGUGAAAUGCUUAGAUAUGUCAUAGAACACCGAUAGCGAAGGCAGCUUACUAUGUUAGUAUUGACGCUAAUGCACGAAAGCGUGGGGAGCGAACUGGAUUAGAUACCCUGGUAGUCCACGCCGUANACGAUGAUUACUCGCUAUUGGCGAUACACUGUCAGUGGCUAAGCGAAAGUGAUAAGUAAUCCACCUGGGGAGUACGAUCGCA